GCUGCUCGCGGAGCCCUGCCCCGACGGGUGGCCGUGACGUCACAGGGUGAGGGCCGCCGCGCGGGAGGGGCGGGGAGCCGUUGGGGCCGUUUGUGUGGGCUUUGCCUUUCGCUGCUGCGGUCUGCUGGGUGCUGUCGUGUUACCACCCGGCAGGCAGGGAUUGGAAACGUUAAGUUCUGGCUGGUGAAUUUGUGCGUGGUUGGACCUCGAGAUAAAGUGGUUUUUUUGUCAAAGGAAAGAGAAUAAAAAGUCUGUGUUAGCAGAAGAGUUGCUUCCUUACUGUAGGUGAGGGAGCUCUGGCACGGGCUGUCUGAGGGCUGUGGAGUCUUCUCAGAGGUCUCCAGAAGCCUGAGCAGCCUGCUCUGGUUGUCCUUGCUGUAACAGGGGUAGGACCAGGUGGUCCCAAGGGCCCAGCCAACCUCAGCAAAGCUAUGUUUUGGAGAACCUUAUUUAUUUAGGCUUCCUGCUCUCAUAGAGAGCAGCGUGGGGUAGUUAUGCCUUAACAGUUCAUUUGGGAGGUUCAGUGCCAUCGUUGGUUGCUCUGACACUGUAAACUAAGGGCAGUAUUUUAUAAGGAAGACUAGGAAGGAGAAAGUACUUGUGUUCAUUCAGGCAUUACAUACUUAAACAUAGGUCUUCAGAUGUAAAACUGCUUUAGAUAAAUGUGAGCACUUCAGCUUUAAAUGCAGUUUCCACCUUUAUAAUUGGUGAUCAGUAUAUUGGCUUUAUUUAUAGGCCUUUGCUUAACUGCUUAACCCAAAGAAAAUGGUUAGGUUUGAAAUGCAUGGCACAGUGGAAAAUGCAUCACUGAAAUUACUAGAAAGUCUUUUUUAUUUGUUUAUUUUUUUAUUUUUUGGCCUGACCUGUCUCUGGGAGCUGGUCUUCCUUACUUGUGGAUAAGAUGUCUCCUGAGACCCAGAAUAUUCUGAGUGCUGAAGAGAACUCCUUUGAAAACAGCACUCUCAAGGGGAUCAGAGUGUCUUAUGAAAUCAAAUGCAAACAUGCUGCAGCAUUUCCCCAGUAUGGAAGAGAACUUUCUAUUUAAAUGGCUGGUUAUAUUAAGUGACUGAAUCAUAUUCUCAUUCUUCAAAGCAAACCACAGCAUAACUGAAAAGAAGAAAAAGGGAAUAAUGAAGUAGUAAUGCAUUUUACUUAACUCAAAGAGCCUGUCAUCUAUGCUGUAAGCUACUUCCUAACUCAUCUGGAAUGUUGGGGACCUUAAAAGGAGACCAAGGUAACUUCAUUACAUUACCUAACAAAAAACCAAGAGGGCAAAAGAGUACUUCCAUCUUUAGAAGCCACAACAUAAGAAGGGAGUCGUUUUGGGCUUCAUGUUGGUCAGCUCAGAGGCACUGCAGUGUUAUGUGAUCAGAUCUCCACGGCGUGAACAACAAAAGGAGAGAUUAAGUUUUUUGAUUGAUUAUACUUGGUGGCUUCUGUAUAUGUUCUAUUUAUUUAAUAGUAGUUCAAGCUGUAUUGGUAUAAAAGGGUCAUAGAAUCAUUCAGUCCUAGAAUGGUUUGGGUUGGAAUGGAUCUUUAAGCCUGUAGGUGCAUUAAUGAAUUACAGGCAGAAGGUUCUACAGCAGCUAAGAAAUACUCUUGUUACUGAAAUAUAAUUUGAAAUGUAAUUCGUGUGUGCUUUAAUUAAAAUCACAUGUAUGUUGACACUGCUCCACUAAAUGAACCUUUCUUUAAACUAUGAAAAGUGAGAUGAAGGCAGUGAGAAUGUGAAAAAAAAAAAAAAAAAAAAAAAAGUGAAUCAGUGUGAAGCUGUACCGUGCAGUUCUUUAAAGGAAAUCGCUAAUAAAAGGCACAUACAGAUAGUCCUGAUAGACCUGGAUGCUGUGAGAAUUUUAGCAAACCUAGGGGCUGGUGCGGUAGCUGCUACUCUGUGAAGAAUCAAGGGUUAAUGCUGUUAGGCAGUGAAUUUUAAUGUGAACUCUCCUUUGACAGGUAUGGAUCAUACAGUCAUAGAAUCACAAGGUUGGAAAGGACCUACAAGAUCAUCUAGUCCAACUGCCCUCCCAUUACCAUAGCUACAGCAAACCACUAAACGAUAUCUUUUUGCUCCUAAUCCAGACACCUCUUGAACGCUGCCAGGGAUGGCAACUCCACCACCUGUAUAAAUUAGAUCAGACGUUGAGAAGAAAAUGUUUGCUCAGAAUAUGGUGAGGCAGUAUUACAGGCUGCACAGAGAAGCUGCUGGUGCCCCAUCUCCAGAGGCAUUUAAGGUUGCAGUUUAGGAAAGAGAGAUACACUGCUUGUUUAAAUAGAGUCUGAUUUUCUGCUUUUGACCAUUAAACAAAAUGCUGCCAGCAGAAGACUUAUCUCUCCUUCCAUUCUUUAAAAAACCCACAUUUUUACAAAGCAUUUGAGACAGCACUCCUUACAAAAACAGCCAGCAUUUAUUUAAGCUGGUGGGCUAGAAUUCUUAAAUAGAUAACAGUAGUGAUAUGCUUAGCACCUUGUCAAUAAGUGUGUUCUCAUAUCACAGCAUCCUUAGUAAGGCACAGUGCAGCUGCGGCAAAGGUAUGAGCCCAGGAGUGCAUGGGUCUGGCCUAAUGCUACCACAACUGGUCAAACAUUAAUCAAAGCCCGAAUACUACACACAGGUCUCUUUCAUGAAGGAGACAUGUCUGAUACGGUGUCCCUGGAAAUUCUCCUAUAGGUGGUGGCAUCUCUUAGUACUCUCAGACUGCCUGGAAAAUUGGUGGCUUUUGUGUCUCUGCUGUCAAAAUUGGAUUCUGAGGUUGAAACUGAACACCAGGGAUCACUGUUUCCUAAAAUCAUGUUCUGCUCUUACUGUGCAACAGCUUUGGUGACAGACUGUUCCUGGUGUAUGCAAAAGUCUUUGUCAACUAUGCUAAAAGAGAAAAGAGGAAGACUCAUAACAUUAAAAACCUACUAACCAACCGAAAAAAAACCCAACAACCCAGACUAUGAUGUCCACACAUCCAAAUAAUCAGUGAAGACUGCUGUGGGCAAGUCUCUGGCAAUAUCUGUAUUUAGGAGUUUUGCCAACUUUCAUCACAGCAGCUCUUGCUUGUGGGGCUGUCAGCACUGUAUAGGUUUGUGUUUGCAGGCAGCAACUCAGCAUCAUGAAUUCUCAGGUACUCUGGGAAAGAGUAUCUCUAAGGCACAGGAAACCUACUUCAAGUAGGUUUCCUGUGUAUAUUUCUGUUUCUGUUGCUGAAGUACAUGGGUCUCUCUACACAGCAAUGACUUACUCUGAUUCUACAGCAGCAACUGCUUCUCCCUAACAGUGCCUCUUUAUCACUCCUAUAACAACAACUCACUAAAGAAAGCUAUUCUAAGCAUUCUAAGCAUUGUUCUUGCUUCUCCUCUUUCUUGGCCUUAUUCUUGUUCUCCUUCCUGAGCAGCUGCAUAUGAGAGAGAGGAAUGUGACUGGCCACUAAAACCACUGUCAUAGACGUUGACUAGCACAGUGCUUGGCCUGCAGCCAGCUUGCAGGGAUCAGCAUCAUAUGCAAAUACACAAAUACACAUGCCUUGUGUGUUGUGCGUCUGAGUAAGUAUCAGGCUGAAACACAAGCUGCCUCUGCAGUAGUCAUGGCUAUUCAAUGGUUCUGGCUGUUCCAAAGGGUAAGAUUAUAAAAUGGCAGGAGAGCUGAGGAUUUUUCAAUAUGAUGCAUGGUGGUGGUGAACUGCAGUCCUUGGUUGCUUCUUCGCCCACAUCCAUGCUCUGCCAGAAGAAUGCCACAGUGAAUGGAGAUCAGCAGCAUGACAAAUAAGUGAAGCCAUCAGAGGAAACCAUCCUUGUCUGAAAGCAUGAAUUCACCGUAAAAUGAAAGUCAUCGGGAUUCUUGCUUACUUCGGUGGUAAAUGUAAACAUUAUCUUCACACAAACUGAAUAAUGCAGAGAAGCACCAAAUCUCAUUUACAUUGAUCUGACUUCAGUUGCUGUCACUGAAAUAUGAGUUCUAUUUGUUCACUGCAAGUGCUUUAGACCAACUUUUAGAGAGGUGUUGACUUGAUAGACAUGAUCCACAAGCCAGAAUGACAAUAGAACUUAAUAUUCAACAAUCUGAGAGUACUCUUUCUUUUUUUGCACUGACACUCCAGCUAUAAGCUGGUAGUGAAGUCUAGCAGCAUUACCACAAUAGUAAGGAAAAAACUACCAUUCACAAUCUAGUUAUGUCAAAUAAAAGUUGCAUUGUCUUUCCUGUGCUGUUCCAAUUUAUGGCCUGACUGUGUACAGCCAAGAUUUGUGUGCAGCCAUAAAAUGCCAAAGGCCAGAGUAACAAGAUUGUCAGGGCAUGGAGGCCAGGCAGCAAAUCCUGCUGUGUGCCAUCAUGGGACUGCCAUUUCCCUCAACACCAAUUCAGAAAGCUUAUUGGCAAGUGGCUGGAAAAUGAAGGACGUUCAUCUCACUGCUUCAUUGUUGCUGUGCAAAUGUCAGUAUUUUUUUCCUGCAGCAGCUCCUUGAGGAAAAUGGUAAUUUAAUUUAAGUGCGUGAGAGUAAAACAAGGCUGCCAUUCUGAACACUGGUAGAGCCAAUGCUGAGGUGCUGACAUGAGUUGAAACUAGGAUUAACAAGCUCCAUUCUUCUGCUUGCAGUUUUCCUGUCUUUCAAUGUCCUCCCCAAUUUUUAAUGAAAUCCAAAAUUUAAUAAGAAGAAGCCACAUUGUUUGACUAUUGCAAGAUAGAAUUACAUUUUACAGCUCACUGCUACUUAGUCACUUGCUGUACAUUACAUUGGGCUGCAGUUUCAUAAACUGUAUGAAAGACUGCGUGUGUGUGUGUGUGCAUGUAUGUGCCUGUUAAAAUUGUCUUUGUUUGCAGCGAAAGAAUGCCAAGCAUACUUUUGUCAUUACCAGAAUGCAAAUAAAAAUAUUACAAUGUAAUAGUUAACUACAUUACAUGUGUGUAGGGUAUGUGUGCAGACUGUAAUGGCAGAGCUUGGAGGACCAACCUUAAUAACUUUUCUCUACAGUGUCUUCACACAAAGCUGUGUGGGCUGGGUUGUAUGUUGUUGCCUUGUUAUUAAAGCUUGAACAGUACGUGGACUGCAUGCAUCUUCCUUAUGAGGCUCCUUGGGGAAAUGAAAACACAUAUAAAAAUCAGGAUCUUAUAGUAAUGAGUAGCCCCGCUCAAGAAGGUAAGAAAAAUAAAUCAUCUAAAAACCAGACAUAUCUGACCUAUUUGAUAUCAGCCCUAGUCCUGAAAGUAUUUAUUUAUUUAACUCUGAACGCAUCUUCAAAGGUCAGGGCAUUUUACUGUCCUUGUUUGAGCUAAAACAUAAACACACACAAAAAAAAAACAACCAAAAAAACCAUGCCCAGACCAAACCAACAAGGAACCCACCUCUUAGGUAAGUUUUCUUCUCCAAGACUUCUGUAAUCUGUUCUCAGGAAUAUAUCAUUUGAAAAGAAAGGUAUUCUAUGUAGAAAGAACUAGAAGCUGGGUCCUCCCCUACAUCAGUGCUGGCCGGCUCUGUGCUAAUGCUGAGCUUUUCUUACAGCUGACAGUGCAGUUCUUUUGUCAACCCUAGUAGUUGUCACAGUCCUGUGGGGAACUAUUACUAAAACAUAAGCAUUGCUUCAUACUUAAAACCAUGAGAAAUCUCUGUGGAGCUAUAAUAUUACAGGCAGUUUUUCACAGGUGUCUUUUAAGUGACAGCAUGGCAUCUCUCUUCUGCUCAGAGCUGAUUAGAUAACUUCCCUUCUUGCUCCACAACUCUGCCCAGCUUUUUAACUGGAGCACAGUGUCUCUUCCUCUCUCUUGAGUAAAAUUUAUUUUUAGGAGGUGUAUACAACAGGCUUAUGUAUGUACUGAAUCUUCUAGGAUGCAACUGGAAAAUACUGAUAUUUAGAAUAUGAUGGAGUUUACUCAGGGGCAUACACUGUACAUAUAUGGUGUACUUUGCUACAAAUUAAAGGAACAAUAUAUGAAGAUAUUUGCUGUACUUCUGGGCUGACAUUUACUAAGAUCGAAUUAAACAAAAAUAAGUGUGGAAGACCGUUUUUCAUUCCAAUUAUUAGCUAAGCCCACAGUAUGUCUUUUAUGUAGUGCAAUAUAACAGCUGAAAAAUUUACACUAAUAAAAGAUGGUUUUAAGAUA